AAGGAGUCUAACAUGUGCGCGAGUCUCAGGGUGACCGAAACCCAUGGGCGUAAUGAAGGUAAAUGCGCUUUUUGCGCAGAGGUGAGAAGUUCGUUGCAGCUGCAUCACCGACCGACCUGUUCUACUCUUGGGAAGGUUUGAGUUAGAGCGCACCUGUUGGGACCCGAAAGAUGGUGAACUAUGCCUGAGUAGGGCGAAGCCAGCGGAAACACUGGUGGAAGCUCGUAGCGGUUCUGACGUGCAAAUCGAUCGUCGAACUUGGGUAUAGCGGCGAAAGACUAAUCGAACCAUCUAGUAGCUGGUUCCCUCCGAAGUUUCUCACAGGAUAGCUGGAACUCGGACACGCAGUUUUAUCAGGUAAAGCGAAUGACUAGAGGUCUUAGGAUCGAAAUGAUCUUAACCUAUUCUCAAACUUUAAAUUGGUAAGAAGUCUGACUUGCUCGAAACUUGAAGUCGGACAAAUUCGAAUGCGAGUUCUUAGUGGGCCAUUUUUGGUAAGCAGAACUGGCGAUGCGGGAUGAACCGAACGUCGAGUUAAAGUGCCAAAGUCGACGCUCAUCAGACCCCACAAAAGGUGUUGGUUGAUACUGACAGCAGGACGGUGGCCAUGGAAGUCGGAAU
rnacentral:rRNA from 1 species